CCGCCCGUCCGCCGCCAGCGACCGCAGCCGCCGCCCGCGCUCCGCCGCGCCCCACAGACGACUCUCCGCGGUCUCCGAGGACAAGGAGGACAUCCGAAGCAUCUAAGAAAGAGGCGCAUACGGGACGUGGCUCACUAGUAUCGGGAUGUGGCGUUGUUCGCGCGCCCAUACCGACCAUCGUAUUAUCUCCGACUAUUAGAUAAAUGCAUUAUAUUUAAUAAAUACUUACUCGUCAAUGUUAGAUUAUUAAUUAUGUAUACGAAA